GUUCAUGUUUAGAAUGUGUUCUGAACACGUUUUUACGCCUUCACAAGUACCUGAACCACAAGUAAGUCAGUCGAUGUAGCGAUAAUUCAAAAUAUCAGUGAUAACAGAACUGGAAAAGUUGUCACGUCGGCUUUACACCAUCUUCGACAGAAGUAAGACACAGUUCCCAUUUCGAUUAGUGGAUGCUCUAUGUACCCAGCCACAUCUAAAAGAGAUAAUCACGAAGAUUCAAAAUGACUCGUCAAGAAUUCCCAGCCUAAAAGAGCCAUAGUUGAUAAUAAACUGUGCAAAAUGAGUAUUGGUACAGUGCGUAACUGAAGACGUUAUGUGAUAAGAAAGGGAUGCUAAAUAAAUGUGAACUAUACUGUAAUUGAAUAACGAAAAUUCCAUUCUGAUCUUUCAUCCUAUUCCCCAAAAUUUUCUGCCAUAUAUUUAAUGAUAAAGGCCUGCUAGAUUCUCGUACUCAUCACUGUAUCCCUCCCACCUUUAAUGUUGGUUGUGAUGACAGACUGACCUGUAGCUAAGCCCAAGGUCUAGGUUAGGUCGAAAACUUGCGUGUUUUAAGAUUGAUGAUGUGCACGUCAAAACAGUGGAAUGUACUGAUCUUACUGUUACAGGUUGAAAUUGGAAAUUGUACUAACGGAAAAUUUUGAGAUACAGACAAAAGUUUAGCUGAGUAUUGUACUGUUGCAAAAAAUAUCCGCCUUUUGAAUACAGCUGUUAAACAUUUGCACGAGAUGCGAGAGCCUUCUGUUGCA